AACGAACGCUGGCGGCAUGCCUAACACAUGCAAGUCGAACGAGACCUUCGGGUCUAGUGGCGCACGGGUGCGUAACGCGUGGGAACCUGCCCUUAGGUUCGGAAUAACUCCCCGAAAGGGGUGCUAAUACCGGAUAAUGUCUUCGGACCAAAGAUUUAUCGCCUUUGGAUGGGCCCGCGUUGGAUUAGCUAGUUGGUAGGGUAAAAGCCUACCAAGGCGACGAUCCAUAGCUGGUCUGAGAGGAUGAUCAGCCACACUGGGACUGAGACACGGCCCAGACUACUACGGGAGGCAGCAGUGGGGAAUAUUGGACAAUGGGCGAAAGCCUGAGCCAGCAAUGCCGCGUGAGUGAUGAAGGCCUUAGGGUGGUAAAGCUCUUUUACCCGGGAUGAUAAUGACGGUACCGGGAGAAUAAGCCCCGGCUAACUCCGUG
rnacentral:rRNA from 1 species